rnacentral:rRNA from 1 species
CCUACGGGUGGCAGCAGUGGGGAAUAUUGCACAAUGGGGGAAACCCUGAUGCAGCGACGCCGCGUGAGUGAAGAAGUAAUUAGUUAUGUAAAACUCUAUCAGCAGGGAAGAAAAUGACGGUACCUGAGUAAGAAGCCCCGGCUAACUACGUGCCAGCAGCCGCGGUAAUACGUAGGGGGCAAGCGUUAUCCGGAUUUACUGGGGUGAAAGGGAGCGUAGACGGGAGUGCAAGUCUGGAGUGAAAGGCGGGGGCUCAACCCCCGGACUGCUCUGGAAACUGUACGGCUGGAGUGCAGGAGAGGUAAGUGGAAUUCGUAGUGUAGCGGUGAAAUGCGUAGAUAUUAGGAGGAACACCAGUGGCGAAGGCGGCUUACUGGACUGUAACUGACGUUGAGGCUCGAAAGCGUGGGGAGCAAACAGGAUUAGAUACCCCGGUAGUC